AGUACUACUGCCUCUUCUUGGAUAUAAUUGUGUGUGUGAUCUGUUCUUGUCAGUUUAAUAUCUGAUAUUGCCCCUGACAAGGGGUGUCUCCUGUAAAUUAGAAAAGACUAGUGGGGUUUGAGCCACUGGGCCAAACCAUCCUCCUGGUAUUGCAGUGCUUCCAGGAGUAGUUUGGAAAAAAA
rnacentral:snRNA from 1 species